ACGGGAGGCAGCAGUGGGGAAUUUUGGACAAUGGGGGAAACCCUGAUCCAGCCAUGCCGCGUGAGUGAAGAAGGCCUUCGGGUUGUAAAGCUCUUUCAGCCGGAACGAAACGGUCACGGUUAAUACCCGUGACUACUGACGGUACCGGAAGAAGAAGCACCGGCUAACUACGUGCCAGCAGCCGCGGUAAUACGUAGGGUGCGAGCGUUAAUCGGAAUUACUGGGCGUAAAGCGUGCGCAGGCGGUUUUGUAAGUCAGAUGUGAAAUCCCCGGGCUUAACCUGGGAACUGCGUUUGAAACUACAAGGCUAGAGUGUGGCAGAGGGGGGUGGAAUUCCACGUGUAGCAGUGAAAUGCGUAGAGAUGUGGAGGAACACCGAUGGCGAAGGCAGCCCCCUGGGUUAACACUGACGCUCAGGCACGAAAGCGUGGGGAGCAAACAGGAUUAGAUACCCUGGUA
rnacentral:rRNA from 1 species